GACGAACGCUGGCGGCGUGCUUAACACAUGCAAGUCGAACGGAAAGGCCCUUCGGGGUACUCGAGUGGCGAACGGGUGAGUAACACGUAGGUGAUCUGCCCUGCACUUUGGGAUAAGCCUGGGAAACUGGGUCUAAUACCGAAUAGGACCACGCGCUUCAUGGUGUGUGGUGGAAAGCUUUUGCGGUGUGGGAUGGGCCCGCGGCCUAUCAGCUUGUUGGUGGGGUAAUGGCCUACCAAGGCGACGACGGGUAGCCGGCCUGAGAGGGUGACCGGCCACACUGGGACUGAGAUACGGCCCAGACUCCUACGGGAGGCAGCAGUGGGGAAUAUUGCACAAUGGGCGCAAGCCUGAUGCAGCGACGCCGCGUGAGGGAUGACGGCCUUCGGGUUGUAAACCUCUUUCAAUAGGGACGAAGCGCAAGUGACGGUACCUAUAGAAGAAGCACCGGCCAACUACGUG
rnacentral:rRNA from 1 species